AUUUGUGUCCGUGGAGCUAUGCCAUCCAACACUACACAUCAUCUGUAAUUUUUUUACCUUUUUCCUCACUCUUUAUUUUUAUUCUGUGGUAAUCCCUGAGUUGUAUUCUGAGGAGGUUUAAUCAAAAUAUGUAUCAUAUUUAUUAUAAAAUCAAGGUAUGCAGCCAGUGUUUUAACAGUUUCCUAAAUCAAUCUUUUGCAUUGCUAUCUACCUCAAUGAAUGCUUGAUUUUUACGGUCAUGGUUGUAAAAAUAUAUGAAGGAAAAUCAUCAUAUAGCAUAUUUGAUAAUUAAAUUACAUAAAUUCAUGUGACGACAUAAGUUUAGAUAAAAGGUUGGUAGGAACUUAUGUUCAAUAGGGACUACAAACAAGAAAGGGUUAUUUAUAUUUAGUGAAAAAUGUAUUUGAACAGAAUCAGUGGCUAUUGAAUUAUUGUGAAAGAAAAAUAUAGAUAGUUUCAAGUGCUAAAAAUGCAAGUUCUAAACAAUGUAGUUCCAAAGGAGGCCUUAAUAUGGACUUAUAACAGAUUGUACUCUUAUAUGUAUUCCGUAUUGCUGUAUGCCUCAGAAAUAUGUAUUACACAAGACUUCAUAUAAUCUUCUGUUGAUCCAGUAUUAAUUGUGUGGUACAUAAUUGGUGGGUAUAAAUGUAUCACAAAUUUUAGUAGUCAACAAAAUAAAAAUAAUGUGAAGUAUUUUAUGCAGAAUUUGUUAAAAACCCAACAACAAAGAACCCAUUAAACAACAUUUUGUUUUGUACAAUCCAUGAAAUACGUUUACACCAAUGAAUUCACCAAACCAACCAAGAUGACUGCCAUGGCUAAAAAUAGAACAUAGGGGUAAAAUGUAUAUUUUGGCUUAUAACUCUGAAACCAAAGCAUUUAGACCAAAUCUGACACGGGGGUAAAAUUGUUUAUCAAGUCAAGAUCUAUCUGCCCUGAAAUUUUCAGAUGAAUCGGACAACUGGUUGUUUGGUUUUUGCACCUGAAUUGGUAAUUUUUAAGGAAAUUUUGCCGUUUUUGGUUAUUAUCUUGAAUACAAUUAUAGAUAGAGAUAAACUGUAAACAGCAAUAAUGUUCAGCAAAAUAAGAUCUACAUACAAGUCAACAUGACCAAAGGAGUUAUUGCCCUUUAUAGUAAAUUUUUAACAAAUUUCAUUAAUUUGGUAAAUUUUGGUAAGUUUUUACAAAAUAUUUUCCUCUGUAACUAUAGGGCCAAGUUCAUUACAGAUAGAGAAAAUUGUAAGUAGCAAGAAUGGUCAGUAAAGUAAGAUCUACAAACACAUCACCAUUACCAAAACACAAUUUUGUCAUGAAUCCAUCUGUGUCCUUUGUUUAAUAUGCACAUAGACCAAAGUGAGCGACACAGGCUCUUAAGAGCCUCUAGUUCAAAAUAUGGCUACCUUGGGAAAAAUAGAUAUUUAUCCAAAUAAAUGUAUAGUUUCUGUUGUCAGGAUUCUGAGUAUAAGCAUAAUCAGUAUUAUAUACUUGUCUUACAUCAAGAAGUGUUUGGUGUUGGAUAUUUAUCCGUUGUAUUAAUUUGUAAAUUGUUUUAGAAUUUAUAUAAUUAUAUAGAUUUAUAAUUAGAAGUUGUGAUAUUUUUAUAAUAUUUGUUUUAUUUACUGGAGAUAUGUUGCCAUAUAGCAACAAUAUGUUACUAAAU
rnacentral:lncRNA from 1 species